ACACGGACCAAGGAGUGCAACAUGCGUGCGAGUCUCCGGGUGGCAAACCCGUGGGCGCAAUGAAAGUGAAGGCGGUGCGUUGGCCCGCUGUGGCGAGAGCCCUCGACUCCUCGGAGGCGUGGGGCGCAUCGUCGACCGUUCCCAGGUCACGCUGUGGCGGGAUACGAGUGAGAGCGUGCCUGUUGCGACCCGAAAGAUGGUGAACUAUGCCUGAAUAGGGUGAAGCCAGAAGAAAUUCUGGUGGAAGCCCGCAGCGAUUCUGACGUGCAAAUCGAUCGUCAAAUUUGGGUAUAGGGGCGAAAGACUAAUCGAACCAUCUAGUAGCUGGUUCCCUCCGAAGUUUCCCUCAGGAUAGCUGGAGCCCGGUGCAGUUUUAUCAGGUAAAGCGAAUGAUUAGAGGUCUUGGGGCUGAAACAGCCUCAACCUAUUCUCAAACUUUAAAUGGGUAAGAAGCCUGGCUUGCUCGGUUGAAGUCGGGCGCAGAAUGCCGGGGCUCCCAGUGGGCCAUUUUUGGUAAGCAGAACUGGCGAUGUGGGAUGAACCAAAUGCCGGGUUAAGGUGCCCGAAUCGACGCUCAUCAGAUCCCAUGAAAGGUGUUGGUUGAUACUGACAGCAGGACGGUGGCCAUGGAAGUCGGAAUCCGCUAAGGAGUGUGUAACAACU
rnacentral:rRNA from 1 species